rnacentral:rRNA from 1 species
UACGUAGGGUGCAAGCGUUAAUCGGAAUUACUGGGCGUAAAGCGUGCGCAGGCGGUUAUUUAAGUCAGGGGUGAAAGCCCUGGGCUUAACCUAGGAAUUGCGCUUGAGACUGGAUAGCUUGGAGUGCGGCAGAGGGAGGUGGAAUUCCACGUGUAGCAGUGAAAUGCGUAGAGAUGUGGAGGAACACCGAUGGCGAAGGCAGCCCCCUGGGCUGAGAUUGACGCUCAGGCACGAAAGCGUGGGGAGCAAACAGG